rnacentral:rRNA from 1 species
GACGAACGCUGGCGGCGUGCCUAAUACAUGCAAGUAGAACGCACAGUUUAUACCGUAGCUUGCUACACCAUAGACUGUGAGUUGCGAACGGGUGAGUAACGCGUAGGUAACCUGCCUGGUAGCGGGGGAUAACUAUUGGAAACGAUAGCUAAUACCGCAUAAUAUUGAUUAUUGCAUGAUAAUUGAUUGAAAGAUGCUAUUGCAUCACUACCAGAUGGACCUGCGUUGUAUUAGCUAGUAGGUGAGGUAACGGCUCACCUAGGCGACGAUACAUAGCCGACCUGAGAGGGUGAUCGGCCGCACUGGGACUGAGACACGGCCCAGACUCCUACGGGAGGCAGCAGUAGGGAAUCUUCGGCAAUGGACGAAAGUCUGACCGAGCAACGCCGCGUGAGUGAAGAAGGUUUUCGGAUCGUAAAGCUCUGUUGUAAGAGAAGAACGGGUGUGAGAGUGGAAAGUUCACACUGUGACGGUAUCUUACCAGAAAGGGACGGCUAACUACGUG